rnacentral:rRNA from 1 species
GACAGAGGGUGCAAACGUUGUUCGGAAUUACUGGGCGUAAAGAGCUCGUAGGCGGUUUGUUGCGUCGGCUGUGAAAUCCCGAGACUCAACCUCGGGUCUGCAGUCGAUACGAGCAAACUAGAGUGUUGCAGGGGAGACUGGAAUUCCUGGUGUAGCGGUGAAAUGCGCAGAUAUCAGGAGGAACACCGGUGGCGAAGGCGGGUCUCUGGGCAACAACUGACGCUGAGGAGCGAAAGCGUGGGGAGCGAACAGG